UCUUCUGGUAAGUUUGUUUUUCUCCCUCCUUCUGUACAAAUUAAGCCUAUUGCUUCCUCUAUCCCUCAACCAACACCCAUAUACACCAACUCAGAAACUCCUCCCUCAACCACCAGACCAUCUAAACAACCCUCUCAAAAAUUUAACCUAGCCACCACCUCUCUACCCCUUUCGGAAGCAGAAAUGUUAAACGAAACAACCUC
rnacentral:lncRNA from 1 species